rnacentral:rRNA from 1 species
UACGAAGGUCCCAAGCGUUAUCCGGAUUUAUUGGGUUAAAGGGUGCGUAGGCGGACUAUUAAGUCAGUGGUGAAAGCCCCAAGCCUAACUUGGGAACUGCCAUUGAUACUGAUGGUCUUGAGUACAUUUGAGGUGGGCGGAAUGUGUCAUGUAGCGGUGAAAUGCUUAGAUAUGACACAGAACACCGAUUGCGAAGGCAGCUCACUAAACUGUAAACUGACGCUGAGGCACGAAAGCGUGGGGAGCAAACAGG